UGGUUUCUGCUCCAGCAUUAACCCUAAUAUUCUUUUCUCUCUCACUUGCCUCUCCUUCCCCUUCAUCCUUUUCUCUCUCAAGGUCUGUAGCCAUCUUUCAUGGCGGACGAAAUCUUUCGGAACCACCAUCAAAAUAUUCAUAUGAAUUAUCGGUUUUACUUAUGAUUUUGGUUCAACGAUUUAGAUUCCUACGUUUAUGUGUUCUUAGGUUAACAUAUUUUAAUUCCUCGGGGUUUGCAAUGAGAAUGUGUGUUGAUAUGGACGAGAUUGAAAUUUUCUUCCUCACAACGCGUACUCCUUCUAAAUCUCCUCACUACCAAUUCGUCUCUUUCUCCCUGUCUCAUCACAAGCCAAGAGAAGGACCGUUCGAGCUAAAUGAUGUUUUUGCCAUAAUUAAUGCAGUCCCGGCUAUUGCCCUUCUUAACUAUGGCUUCUUCCACAAAGGCCUUGUCCCUGGUCUCUGUUUUGGAGCUGGACUUGGAAUAACAGUGUUUGGGAUAGCCUACAUGUUUGUGCAUGAUGGCCUUGUUCACAAGCGGUUCCCAGUUGGUCCCAUUGCCGAUGUUCCUUAUUUUAGAAGGGUGGCUUCUGCGGGUAUUUGUAUUUGCAGGGUUUAAUUGAGGGUUUGGAAUCAAAAUAUUGGAUUAAGGUCUGUGAAGAUUGAAUGGUUUUCUCGUUCUUCUUCUUCUUUCAAGGUUAACAGGAAGUAGAAGAAGAUAAUGGACAAGAUUACCAGCCAAAGGAAGGAGAUAAUGCCGAAACUGAGCUUGAAAAGCACUAGGGUACUCUGGGCUUAGAUGGCUCGAGAUGAGGUGACAUUCUACUAUUUUUUUUCAUGUGGAUUUUGUAUUGCCAAAUUCUAUUUGGUUUCAAGCAGCUAAGAAACUCUGGGCUUAUUUUAAAGAGAAGGAUUUGCUCCCCAACAGGCGUAAUAUAAAAUGUGACAAGAUGUUGCAUUCCAUUUUUCGUGUAGAUACCAUCAACAUGUUCCAGAUGAAUAAAUCUAUCUAUAAGCAUGUCUGGCCGCUCGAGUCAGAAGAAGGUAUUGGAAGAUAAGGUUGAUCAAUAAAAAUGGACGCUGAAAUAUAAAGCAUUUGGCCGUGAUAUUGAGUUCUCUUGGCUUGCUUGAAAUCUACAGCCCAUCCAAAACCAGAAAAUUCAUUGGAGAUCUCUAGAAGGUCUUCCAAACAGGUUGUCAAUUGGAUGCAAAAUCCGUGGGAUGUGAGGACUAUUGGACAUACACUUCCAUCAGCAUACCUUGACAAGGUGUCAAAGAUAAUGUUGACUAUGAUUUUAAGCUCUACAAGCCAAAUAGUGAAGCUUACAUGAACGGGAUAAACGCGAAACAAACUGCAUCUGUUGUGUCUGUUUCAUUUGGCAGCGCGAUUGUUUUCAUUGUAGAGAAAAUGACAGAAGUAGCACCUGAAUGAUGUACUUGGUGCCUCCUUUGCUUUGAGAGAGGAUGUAUCACUUACAACAAUUGUUCAACCUUGACCCUUAACUGAGUAAGGUGCGUGCUGCUACUCCAAUAAUGGCUGACUGAUAUUAUGCCUACUGCUCAUGCUGCUAUUAGUAACUCUGAGGGGAUUUGGCUUGUUUUUAAGUUCAAAAUUGUCUACCAUUUAUUGUACGUGAUAUGCAGGCUAUGUACUAUGAAAGGAUGUUAUAUUUAUUAUUUCAUA